AGCGGCUAUCAAGAAGAGCUAAGCCACCUUAGGCUUGACUACUGGUCUGCAACAGAAUGCUGGCAAGGUGUUAAAUGGUUGGUCCUAGGUGGUUUCCAUCUACAAAACGUGAAGCAGGAGCCUUCAUCAGUGUUACCAAGUUCCUUCCAGAGAGACAGAAUCUGUCACAGACCCCUUUACACGGCAGACUGCCUAGGACUGAAUGACACAACAGUCCCCCAAACCAGCACUUCAGUUACAAAACAGCUUACCUCAGGGGAUUUCCCUGGGCUGGCCUCCGACACCUGUGACAAAGAUGAGGGUAUGACAGACAGGGGAAACAUCUCAGCCUCCCGGGGUGACACAGUAAGUGUGUAUCUAUGCAGGGCUCUUCUCAGUGAGGGACGCCAUCUGAGACCAUGGACAAGCCUGACUCAGAGCUUUGAUGCCACGAGGAACAACGUGAAGGACUUGCUGAGAGACCGAAGAGAGAAACACGGAGUGGAGUCUUUGCUACUGGAUUAAGAUUACGCUAAAAAGCUUUAAGGGUUUUUAAAAAUGGAGGCCUGCACAGAAGCCGGGUGUAGGACCGACAACCGUUUGUUUUCUUGGGUGUGAUAAAGGCACACGGCUAUGCAGGAAAAAGCUCAGCUGGACAUAAAACGCUGGGCUUUGAGGUGCACAUUUGUAAUCCUGGCGCUGGAGAGGCUUACACAGAUGGAUUCCUACGGCUCACUGGCCAGCCAGCCUACCUUCAUCUGUGAGUCCUAUGUCCCAGCAAAGACCCUGCUCAAACAACGUCCCCUUCCCCAGUGGACACCACCUGAGGAACAACCACCCAGGUUGUCCUCAGGCCCCUGACCUCCUCAGCACCCAUGCAUCCACAUACACGUGCGUACACGCACAUGUGUACACACACACACACACACACGAGUCAUGUUCGUGCCUAGUUAUCAAAUGAUUCCAUAAGAUCAAUGUAUAUCUGGAAGUAUUCUGAUGGCUCUGGAUGAUGGGUGCGUGUGUGUAUGUGUGUGUGUGUGUGUGUGUGUGUGUGUGUGUGUGUGUGUGUGUGUGAAUGAGAUGUCCUCCAUGGGUCUCCGGCAUUUGAAUACUUGGUUCCUAGUUUGGUGGCUGUUUGGGUAGGCUAGGGGUGACCUUGCUGGAGAAGUCAUGGCACUGGAGGUAGACUUUGACGUUUAUCUCCCUCUGCCUCCUGCUUUUGACUUGAGAAAUGACCUGGUGCUUCAGCCCUCUGCCACCAUGGACCUGUCCCCUUGAACUGUAAGCCCCAAAUAAACUUCCUAUGUUGCUUCC
rnacentral:lncRNA from 1 species